rnacentral:tRNA from 1 species
GGCCAGUUAGCUCAGUGGUUUGAGCGUGGUGCUGACAACAAUGACAACACCAAGGUCGUGGGUUCGAUUCCCGCUCGGUCCC